rnacentral:misc_RNA from 3 species
UCGAAACCCGCCAUGACAGACCGCGCACACGUUAAUGCCUCGUGGGGCGCCCAACGGGCAGGCCCAGCGCCUCCCGUCGGCGCCCUGCCCCUGCCGUGCCCUCGCGCGAGCGAGCACGCCCGGCGGGUCCAACAAACCCACGGCGCGGAAGGCGCCAAGGAUCACAACGUCGGAGCGUCGCCCCCCCAUCAUGGCCCCGUCCGCGGCAAGCCAUGCGGGGGAUGUGCGUCUCCCAAGAUUGAAUGACAUGUAAAAC